CUGGGCCACUCCUCGAGCUUGUCUGGGUCCCUCUGGAUGGCAUCCUGUCCUUCAGGUGUGCAAUCCUUUCGUCUGUGUCAUUAAAGAAGAAUCACACUGGUCCCAGUGCAAACCCUUGAGGGCACCACUUGUCACUUAUGUCCAUUUGGAUUCUGUCAUUGACCACGACCCUCUGGAUGUGACCACUUUCUUAUCCAUCUAACAGUCCACUCAUCAAAUCCAUCUUUUCACUUUACAGGGAAGGAUGUUGUGAGGAACCAAAUACAAAGGCUUUACAGCAGUACUGAUGUGCCCCACACGCAUGAAGGCAGGAACCUGAACUUAUGGCUCAAAGCACAUAAAGGAAAUCUGUAUUAAAAUACAAAUGUAAUACUUUUAUUGCUGAGGAUGAAAGCAACCCAAAAACAAACAUCCAGACUAGGAUUCUUCUACACUGCUGAGGACCACUUUUAAUUACUAAUCUGUGCAUCUGCUAUGAUAUGCAUAGCAGAGCAAAAGCCUUCAUUUAUUAUGUACAAGUGUCUUGCGUAUCAGCACCCUGUGAGCUGGUGGGUCACUGGAACAGGUUAACUAGAGGGGAUGUGGAGUCUCCUUUCUUGGAAUCAUUCAAACCAGACCUGGGGCAGCCUGCUCCAGGUUGCCCUCCUUGAGAAAGAUCUACAUGAUCUCUGGGGGUCCCUUCCUCCAGAAAGAAAUUACUCUGUUUUAUUGGGAAAUUAUUUGAUAAUUGACAUGUUUAUUUUCUUCCUGCAUAGGCUGUUAAAUGGAGGAGGUUUUGUUCCAAUGACAAGUUCCCACACUGCAGGCCAGUGGCUCCGCGGUGUUCUGAUUUUGCAUUUACUCCUCCUCUCUGAGUUGGCUGACCUGAGCUGUUUGACUAACUUAAGAGACUUCAGGGGAUUUUUCCAUUAAAGAACUCAACACUUUACAAUACAUGAAGAUCCUGCUGUGCCCAGUAACAUGAUACAAGGUUUGCAAGUUUUUCCAGAUUUUCCUUGGAAACAGGAUUUAAGGCCAUGAAGCACAAAAAACCCAACCACAGACAUUUAGAAAGGCCCUCAGGAGUCCUCUGCUAACAUGGCUGGAAGAAAGGAUAUAAAGAAGGACUUGAAGACAACACAAAUGGAGCCUUGUUACCUGCUUACUGCCUGAACAUGUGCUGUGAUUGGCUUUGUUUCAGAUAUUAUGAUAAAUAAUUAUUUGUUUCACUGAAGGUCUGUUUGGAGAGUUUGAAGCUGGGAUGUUAACUCCCUCUGUCAGAAACUUCCCAUUCAUAUGUGUCAUUAUUAAUAGUUCAAAAUUGAAAUUAAUAGCUGCUCAUUUCUAUCCAGUUUAUCCCCAAAACAGGUUGAAUAGUCACAGACAGAUAUGAACUUAAUGUUUCUUGAGACAUUGCACUCACCUCUUCUUCCCUGUGGUACUCUGCAAUGAGGUGGAAUGGCACCGUGUACAGUGUGCUGGACAUGACUCCAAAGAGUGAGCAAAGAGCCAGAGUGGAAUAGACAUUGGGAAACAAGCCAAUUAAUCCAGUACCCAGUCCAAAAAGUAGGUAUCCAAUGAAGUAAAGUCCCUUUAAUCCUAUGUAUGGCAGAAGGACUUUCUGCAAGUCUGUGAAAAGAAAGUGGAAAUGCUAAGAUUAAAAGAAAUAGGUCUCAUUUUAUCAGGGAGUUCCUUUUAAAGAAAAAAAAAACCCUUGUAUUUUGUAAAAUGCAAUGAAGAAGAUAAUCUUAAUGAUUUUGGAAAUUACAUCAAAUUAUUGUGGGUAUAAACUUGACAAGGAAUACUUGCUGACAACACCCAGAGCUCAACCUGCAGUUUGCACUGCAGCUGCAGCCAGAGAUACUUGUGCUGAAUAGAAGUUCAUCCACAGAAAGGCCACACAGAAAUGCCUGCAGUUAAGCUCCAAAGGUGAAAACAUUUCCCUCAAGCCUCUUUUAGAUGCUUAAAUCAACCCCCAAAAUGCUACUUAUUUGAGUUUUCAGAUCAUGAGUUUUUUAAUCCUAGGGAAGAGUUAUGGUGAAAUCUACCUGGGGAGCUGUGCUAACAUGUUUACACAUAAUUUUGGAGAGCAAGAUUCAAGCUUCUGGCAAGACCUGCUGCAUGGGGAAUGCGGGAGAGGUCACCUUAGAGAGCCUACAACUAUAGCAUUGCUAGGUGAAAGAACACCUAAGAAUUUGGUGUGGCAUUUAAUUUCAGAAUGAUUUUCAGUGUUCAGGGUCAGUUCAUGUGCAGAACAACUUCCUACUUCCAAAGUCACCCCUCAUCAUGUGGUCAGGAACUGUUUGUGCUAAGAUGUGAGUUUCUAAAAAUGCUGAGAAUGUAACAUUCCUUAAAGUUUUAAUGUAAAAAAAAAGUUCCAGGUAAUUUGGCAUCCCUUUGUGGUUUUUGAACAAUGGCAAACAGCAAACAGUGUUGGAGUUUAUUACUGGGUACUUACAAGAAUAGACUGAUGAAGAAAUUGCAUUGAUGCACAGUCCCCAGCAUCCCAUCUCUACCCCUGCUUUGUAGGUAAGGUAAAGUGUGGAGUUGUGAGGUGCAUAGGGAUUUCCAUGGUACACAACCUGAAAGAGACCACAAAAGUCACAGAAGGCAGGAAUAGCAUCACAGAAGGCAGGAAUAGCACCAUGUAGGGAAUGCCUCCUUCUCAUGGGCACAGGGCUCCAUCCCUGGUAGGCAGCACCCAAAAAAUCUGCUGAGCAGUGUCCUAACCACCCAUUUGUAAUUCUCAAGAUUUCACACUCACAUCUCCUGGGCUAUCACAUCCCAGACUCAUUUCUUACCCUUACCCUUUUCCUGGACUGUCUAUUUUACGUUGACUCAUUUGCUCUUCUAUCCUUUGGGUGUCUCACUUCCAAUGUCUCUCUUCUCUCUGUCUUCUUGCCUUAGCCUUUCUUUCCCUAAUUUAUCUACAACUUUUUUUUCUCUUUUCUCUUUCAGAUUUUCCUCACCACAUUCAUUUUUCCACACAGUUGUUGUCUUACUCAGUUACUUUUCUAGACAAGCAAAACUUUUUUCUUUCAGUUGUUCAUCUGCACUGCAGGGGAAAAAACUCUCCCUCCUGCCUUGCCUGAAAAGACAAAAAAGACGAGGAAAUGGGAAUACUGUAUGGAAACCACAGAGGAGCAGGGAGAGGCAGUGAGAGAUUUGUGCCAGGACCAUAUUAGUGCUCUGGAAGGAAGGAGGCAGACACAUCCAUACAGGCAAGAACCACUGUCAAGGACAUGCAGUCCCUGGGAAUGGCACGGAAAAGGCACCACUGGGUGUUGUGAAGGCAAACAGUUGCUGAGAAAAGGGACUCAGGACAGACAAAUGCAGGAAGAUAAAACUUUCUGCUACCAAGUAGCUCCCUGUGUGCGAAGAGCUGCAUGGCCUGAGGCCAGGGAGGCUGCAGAGCAUGGGGAAGGUCUUUGUGGGGAUGCUGCACACACACCAGCUGCAUCCAAGCACUGCCCCAGCUAGAAAACCUGCCCAUCUGGGAGCAGCUCCGAAGCCAAAGCAGAAAAUGGAUAUGUUUGGACCAGCUCUGAGAGCUUCACUUGGAACAUUUAGACACAGAUAGCCUUACAAAUGCUAAAGGUUUUCCCCAAUGACUUCCCCAGACAGGCUUGGAACAAGGGCCUGACCUUAAUUAGCUGGUUUACAAAACUGUUGUUGAGACAUCCACGUACAAAUGGCUCUGACACCAGUGUCGUUUGCUCAGGAUAGUAACACCACUUCAUUUCUUUCUGAUGGAGGAGGAGAUGCUACAAGGAAGGAGUAGUGAGAGUAUUUUAUGCUUUACCUGUCCCAUGAAAUCCGUGAAGAAAAGCAUGUUGGACAGGAAAGCCAUCCAUCCAAAGAGGUGGCUCACACACAGACAGCGAUAGUGGGAUGGCAUGCUUAAAAGUGUCUUCAAGAGGGAUUUAAGGGUCAUCUGCCUCUUUUCCUAAAAGCAAAUAUUCAAGAAUAAUACAGUAUUAUUUUCAUGAAGGCUAAUGAAAUAGCUGACAGCAAAUGAAGAAGGCCUUAGUAGUAUCUUUUCAUUGCUAAACUUCCAAAGUCUUUUAUUUUUUGCUAGGAAGGUUUGCUUGGAUACUGAAUUUUCUUCAAUUUCUGAAAUUCACAGGAACUAUUGAAGAGACAGAGUAUACCAGCAGGAAUGUAACAUAUUUUGCUGCUAUUAUCAGUAGAACAAUUAUUUACAUGUAGAAUAACAGGGAAAUUUUCUGCCAAAGCAGACUCAGAGAGUUAAAAAAUCCUCCAAUGAACCAACAACAGAAACAACAGGAAACAAAAGUUAUUUCUUUAUAGAGACCAUCAGCUUUUCACUGAAAAUUUAAAACUGCUGCUGAAGAAAGUUAUGCUCAAAAUACUUCCUGAAAAUUAAAAUGUGUCAGUUGUGGAUUUCUGAGACCUUAUUCCUUUCCAUUUUAUGAGCUACAUUCCCUAGGAAACUUCUACCUCUUUGAGCAGAUAAUGAGCUUUCCACUACGUGCUGUCCUUGAAGCAGAGGGAAGCUGAGGCUCCCCAUGGUAGCACACAGAGAAUGUGAGCCCCAGCAUCUGAACACCUCAUACCAGGGGAAAAAUAACCAAUUUCAUAAUCAAAACUUAAUUGGUACUGGUUAACAAAUCUCACUGAUGAAGAAAAUAAAAUUUUCUCACUGCCUUUAAUGCCCCAUGAUAACUCCCUUCUUGUCUCAGCCCCGUACCCCAAAACUCUCUGUUUCUUCUCCAGUCACAUUCAUCAGAUCAUUUGUAUUACUUUUUUUUUUAAACUACCGUAGGUGUGCUUGAUAUCAGGUAUUUUGACACAUAAUUCUUCCUGUAUUAAAGCUCCUGCAUGGUUCAUUGCUUUUAAAGAGAGAGAAAAAAAAACCCAUACUAUUUUAACUGUGUAUGAUGGAAAACUUCCAAUUUUCUCUGAUGAUGUUUGGAGACAACAGUGUCAGGAGAGAGGGUAAGGGAAGAUGUAUGUUAUGAAAUGUGGAAGAACUGCAAAAGUUACGCUAAUUACUCAAAAUUCCUGGACUGGGUCUUGUCUUCAAUUUGCUGUAAGAUGUAAUUUUUUCCUUUCUUUCUUCAGUCUGGUAUAUACUUUUCACUAAUCUACUUUCCUUUGAACUAGGCUAUGCUGCAGGCUACUCUAUGAAUAAUCACCACAUAUAAAGUUGGAAAAUACUUUGCUUCAGUGUGAGGUUUUUAAUCCUCAUAGGAAUGCCAAAAUUCAAGUUGCUGACUUCCAUCUUGGACUGUAUAUUGUCCAAAUCCCUUGGAAUUUCUCUUGGCAUCACUGUCUUUUUUUAAACAGGGUAAGCUUUAUAUUCUUAUUAUAAAAAGAAAACAAAAGAAUUCCAGAUUGACUAAUUAGUGUUAUUUCAAGGAUAAUUACUAUUGUUUGACUUGGCUUUAUUUAGUUUUUAAUUCUUCCACACUGCUUUUUAAAAUAGCCUUUCCAAUCAAAGUUUUAAGGUAAGAUCAUGGAAUUACAAAGAACACUGCAGUGAUAAUAAACAAUAAUUUGACAGCUAGAUGGAAAUGUUUUCUUUCUAUUUAAAUAUUCCAGAAAGUGGAAAAGGAAACAAAAAAUGUUUCAUGCACACAUUCAAAGCAUACCAGCACACAAACUACAUGCUAAUUUAAAUAAUGUGCUGAAGUUUUGCUCUGUUUAAGUACCUUAUCCUUCAAAAGCUCAGAAUACCAAAUAAUCUCUACAAAAUCACUACUACUCAGGGCAUAAGAUGAUAAGAAUACAGAGAAAGCAAUAUGACUCGGGUUUUAUGGCAGUGGACCCUGAAUAAUUUGGCACCAUUCAAAAGAAUACAAGGCUAAUUGCUUUGGGUGUCUGUUCAUACUGUAAUGGGCCAAAUCUCAUUAAUAAUCAUGUUAGCUAUUAGCAUGUGAGAACAGAGGCCUUAAUUUAGAGGAAAUAUAGCCAUGAUGCCUGCAAUUUAAAAAAAAGAGACAGAAAAACAGGAAGCCAAACUAUUUCUUCAAGGAAGUGAUUAUGGUAAUGAAUGAACUCAGCAAACAUGUGCCGCAGGAGACAGAUCAUUAAAGCAGUGAGUGUCUAGAAUUCAUGCACACAAAGAAAUGCACAUCAAAGAAACAUGAGACUGAUCAAAGCACUGGGGGACUCUCACAGGCUGCCCAGCCCAGGCAGAGAGGAGGGCAGUGGCACAGGCUCGCCACCACAGCUUCACCUCCGGAGUUAGACAUGAAACUCCACGCUCCUCAUGUUGCUGGCCCCAUGGAAUUAGUUCUUCCCAAGGCAGAGGCUGCCCCAAACCACAAUCUGCUCCCCCCCUUUCCACUGCAUCGCUCUCUCAACUUCAUUUGCCUCCUCCUG